rnacentral:lncRNA from 1 species
GGGAAACAAGAAAACGCCAAGCUCUCUUUUGAGCCCUAGAAAAAGCACAGCCCAGAAUAAUGCAUUCAUUGUUUUACAAAGGAAAAGUAUUUGAUGGUGUCUGAGGAAUACAGAGGACUGGAAUGAAAAUGAGGCUGCAAAGGAAACGGAAUGAAAAAUAGGUUUGUUUUGGUCACCCAGAAGCAAAACCUAUCGUGCACAUUGACACAAACACACCUAAAACCUAGCAGCCACCUCAUACCAUUUCCUGACACCAAAAUAAAAUAAAGAUGGAACUUCAGGGGAAGAAGACAAAGAGAAGGAGUGGAAAUGAAGCUGCCAAGGGAAACAGAACUGAUUUUGCAAAGAAGUUUUCAACUUAAAGGGAAUGUCCAACCACCACCACCACCCCUCCUCCCCCGCCCCAAUAUACACACAUACCUGUGGCAAGCAUGAAAAUGCAGCUCUGGGGGCCAGCCCGGUGGCAUAGAGGUUAAGUUCGUGCACUCAGCUUCAGCAGCCUGGAGUUUGUGGGUUCGGAUCCCAGGCACGGACCUACACACUGCUCAUCAAAUCAUGCUGUGGCAGUGUCCCACGUACAAAAUAGCGGAAGAUUGGCACAGAUAUUAGCUCAGGGACGAUCUUCCUCAAGCAAAAAGAGGAAGACUGCCAACAAAUGCUAGCUCACAGUAAAUCUUCCUCAUCAAAAAAAAAAAAAAAUAGCAGCUUUGGUUUUAUAAUGAACAUCAGUGAGGGAAAUAGAUAAAAAUAUAUUUAUGCAAAGUGAAAGGGAAUGAAACAUAUGUUAUAGCAAGUUAACCUAGUUUCAGUCAUAAACAAACGGAAAGCAGAAAAUUAUUUACAUGAGAUGCAAUUCAAAAUCUCAUUUAACCGUUCGAAUAAUUUGCAAGAAAUUCAUUUUAUAAUUGCAAAUACCAUAGAGGAGUGAGAGGCUAAUAUUUGGUUCAUCUGGUAGCUUACAGGAAUUACGACUAGUUCUUUAUGUAUGUUACCUAAUUUCAUUCUCAAGGUGAUAAUCUAUGAAAUGGACAUCUGGGAAGCUGAUGCAACUCUCUCCCUCAACUUGGAAAAACACACACUUCAAAGGUUCUAGAACAUAUUAAAGAAGCUAGCACCUGGAAAAUGAUUAGCACUGUGCCCGGC